rnacentral:rRNA from 1 species
CCUACGGGUGGCAGCAGUGAGGAAUAUUGGUCAAUGGACGCGAGCCUGAACCAGCCAAGUAGCGUGAAGGAUGACUGCCCUAUGGGUUGUAAACUUCUUUUAUAUAGGAAUAAAAUGCAGCACGUAUGCUUUUUUGCAUGUACUUUAUGAAUAAGGAUCGGCUAACUCCGUGCCAGCAGCCGCGGUAAUACGGAGGAUCCGAGCGUUAUCCGGAUUUAUUGGGUUUAAAGGGAGCGUAGAUGGGUUGUUAAGUCAGUUGUGAAAGUUUGCGGCUCAACCGUAAAAUUGCAGUUGAUACUGGCAGUCUUGAGUACAGUAGAGGUAGGCGGAAUUCGUGGUGUAGCGGUGAAAUGCUUAGAUAUCACGAAGAACCCCGAUUGCGAAGGCAGCUUGCUGGGCUGUAACUGACACUGAUGCUCGAAAGUGUGGGUAUCAAACAGGAUUAGAUACCCUAGUAGUC